GAUGAACGCUGGCGGCGUGCUUAACACAUGCAAGUCGAACGGUAAGGCCCUGCUUGUUUGGUGGGUUAGUGUCGAGCAGGUGAGUAACACAUGUGUAUCCCCCCCUUGACUCUAUGGUAUGCCCUCAGGACAGUGUGUAAUACAGGAUAUAGACGUCCCUCGCACGGCGGGGGUUUGGGAGAGUUUCGGUGGUGGAUGGACUCGCGGCCUAUCAGCUUGUUGGUGGGGUAGUGGCUUACCAAGGCGACGACGGGUAGCCGGCCUGAGAGGGUGACCGGCCACACUGGGACUGAGACACGGCCCAGACUCCUACGGGAGGCAGCAGUGGGGAAUAUUGCACAAUGGGCGGAAGCCUGAUGCAGCGACGCCGCGUGAGGGAUGACGGCCUUCGGGUUGUAAACCGCUUUCGGUAGGGAAGAAGCGAAAGUGACGGUACCUGGAGAAGAAGCACCGGCUAACUACGUG
rnacentral:rRNA from 1 species